CCUACGGGGGGCUGCAGUGGGGAAUAUUGCACAAUGGGGGAAACCCUGAUGCAGCGACGCCGCGUGAGUGAAGAAGUAAUUCGUUAUGUAAAGCUCUAUCAGCAGGGAAGAAAAUGACGGUACCUGAGUAAGAAGCCCCGGCUAACUACGUGCCAGCAGCCGCGGUAAUACGUAGGGGGCAAGCGUUAUCCGGAUUUACUGGGUGUAAAGGGAGCGUAGGCGGAAGGGUAAGUCUGGGGUGAAAGGCGGGGGCUUAACCCGCGAACUGCCCUGGAUACUGUAGGGCUGGAGAGCAGGAGAGGUAGGUGGAAUUCCUAGUGUAGCGGUGAAAUGCGUAGAUAUUAGGAGGAACACCAGUGGCGAAGGCAGCUUACUGAACUGUAACUGACGUUGAGGCUCGAAAGCGUGGGGAGCAAACAGGAUUAGAUACCCCUGUAGUC
rnacentral:rRNA from 1 species